AUGCUUACGGAGUUCUAUCAUGCACAAUCAUGUGUGCACAUCGGUCUAUCCAGAAGAUUAGCUCGCGACCCUCUCCGCCGGCUCCCCGGGGGUCGCAUCCGGCUUGCCGCAAGUACACCUACGCCGCCGCCUCCCCGGGGGCCGCAAGGUGAAGUGGACGACCGGGGAGAAGGCAUGUGGCGGGGGGCAGGCUCUCAAGUGGGAGACAGAGCUCGCCUCCCCCAACGACGACAACUUCGACCUCAAGUGGAAGUGGGAGGCCAAGUCCAAGCCUGGCGCCGUUGGCAGGCCAAAACCAAGUGGGGCACUGAGGAAGCCAACAAGGAUGACAAGAAGAAGCCGGUGAGGAAGUGUGUCCAGAGCAAGGAGAUCCCCGUUGGCUGGACGUCCAGAUCGAGACUUCAUUUGAUAGACGCAAUAAUAGGAACUGGCUUCUAUGGUGUACGAGACAAGCUCAAGCACUACAAGGACACAAUGGGCAUUUUCUAA
rnacentral:rRNA from 1 species